rnacentral:lncRNA from 1 species
CUUGGCUCCAUCAAGUCUUAAAUCCCUCAAUAUCUUUCAAUUCUUCCUUCUUCCAGUGUGCUGCGCUGGGAACUCUGGAAGAGAAGAAAGAAGCGGUCUUACCCACAGAGCUGCAGCUGCCCCGAGGCUGGUGCAUCCCUGCAGGGUUGCUGUGCGUGGAGCCAGGAAAGGAGGGAGCUGCUGGUACCUGGAGGUGAUUUGAAGAUAGAUGUGUAAUCUUGCCUGUCAGCAGCCAUCUCUGUUCCUGCCUCUCCAUGCACUGACGUUAAAUCUUCCGGCUGUCACUUCCCUGCCUGUAGCCAUGGGAACUCGAAUGUCAGUACCGAGGGCUUGCGACUGCCGUGCAGGAAGGAGGGGCAGCUCUGGUUCCCAUGAGAUGUGAUACCUGAUGGCUGGGUUAUUUGGGGUUGGACAGCUGAAGGUAUCGCCUGUCUCUGCUUGUUAGUAUUCACCCCAUGUGGGGGUGUCACCAGCUGCAGGGAUUUGGCUGCCCGAGGGGUUCCUGUGGUGUCUGUGCUUCCUGCGCCUGCCGGGAGGCAGGACGCUGGGCCUGGAAUGCUCCAGGGCUCUUCUCCCAGUGAAUGGGAAGGGCUGGGGCAGGAGACCUAUGCAAGCAGCUGCUGGAG